GUCAACAUGGCAUAGUGGUUUGAGUGUUAGACUAUGAUUCUGGAAACCAAGGUUCGAUUCCCAGCUUGGCCA